rnacentral:rRNA from 1 species
AAGGGAGAGCAGCAGCGACGGGUGAGUAAAGCACAAGGACUUGUCCCGAAGAGGGGGACAACUGUGGGAAACCACAGCUAAUACCCCAUAAGCCGAGAGGUGAAAGCAGCGAUGCGCUUUAGGAGAGACUUGUGUCCUAUCAGGUAGUUCGGUGAGGUAACGGCUCGACCCAAGCCGAAGACGGGUUAGCCGGACUGAGAGGUUGUACGGCCACAUUGGAACUGAGAGACGGUCCAGACUCCUACGGGAGGCAGCAGUGGGGAAUAUUGGGCAAUGGGGGCAACCCUGAACCCCCAGCGACGCCGCGUGAGGGAAGACAGCCUUCGGGUUGUAAACCUCUGUUGCAGGGGAAGAAGAAAGUGACGGUACCCUGCGAGGAAGCUCCGGCAAACUACGUGCCAGCAGCUGC